AUACAGGGGUGCUGGCGUCAUGCCGGCUGAGAGUAAGGCAAAUGGAGCCUUUAACCCUUAUACCUGAUCUGGAUAAUGCCAGCGUAGGAAUAGAAC
rnacentral:ncRNA from 1 species